ACACGAGCGGCGAACGGGUGAGUAACACGUGAGCAACCUGCCCCUGACUCUGGGAUAAGCGGUGGAAACGCCGUCUAAUACCGGAUACGACCUUUCGGCUCAUGCCGUUGGGUGGAAAGUUUUUUCGGUCAGGGAUGGGCUCGCGGCCUAUCAGCUUGUUGGUGGGGUAACGGCCUACCAAGGCGAUUACGGGUAGCCGGCCUGAGAGGGCGACCGGCCACACUGGGACUGAGACACGGCCCAGACUCCUGCGGGAGGCAGCAGUGGGGAAUAUUGCGCAAUGGGCGAAAGCCUGACGCAGCGACGCCGCGUGGGGGAUGACGGCCUUCGGGUUGUAAACCUCUUUUACCACCAACGCAGGCUCCGGGUUCUCUCGGGGUUGACGGUAGGUGGGGAAUAAGGACCGGCUAACUACGUGCCAGCAGCCGCGGUAAUA
rnacentral:rRNA from 1 species